GAGCCUUUUGGACUUGCAAGUAAGCUCUAGAAAAACCUUAAGGCAUCUUUGGCAGCUCCUCUCUUUCCCCUCUCUUGUGGCUGACCGAACUGUUCUUGGGCCUUAUUCGCUUAUUUCUUGCAGAAACAUGUGAUGAAGGUGAACAUACACUGACGGGUGCAAGCACAAGGUCAAGAAGCUUCUUCGGAAGAUCGAAGGUAAUAACUAUUUUGGUUCCACACUCAGUAUGGCAUCAUGGUCAGAGUCAGGUUAGGUUUAGACAAGCUAUUUAUUCCCAGUUUUCCCAUACAGCUCUCCAAAAUGGCCCCAAACCGAACCGUGCAGUUCUUGAACUACUGCUAGCAGCAGUAUGGCAACCUAUACCGUUGCAGACUAGGAUGUCGUGAUAACAAAAAAAUGACCACAUGAUUUUCUAAUUAGUAAAAAUAAAUUCUGCCGAAGAUGGUACUGUAUCUGGUUUUACCUCUAGCUUUCUUGAUUGUUGUUUAGCCUUGGCGCUCUCCAGGUUAGCCCAAGCCUGGAUCUUCGCCUCAUCCCUCUAAUACAACCCAUUUUUCAAUCGUUAAGCCAAGCCUUUUUCAAUUGUUGAGGAACUGUCGAUUAUACAUCCCAUUUUUUAUCUUGGACAAAGAUUUAAGUAAAAAUAGUGUUAACAGUUGCACUGAUAGGAAUUCUGGAACUUGAGAUCUUGGACAAAGAUUCAGUCCUGUGUUCAGAUUGGAUGUUAAGCAACCAGAGUUAGUCCAUUCUUUAUCUCUAAUACCACUAUGAUAUCAACGUUUUCUUAGAAUUCUCUGAUAAUGUAUUUCAUAUAGAUGUAUAAGACAUGUGCAAUAUAACUGAGAACAAAAACAUGUGCUUUGGAGAUGUUUAUUCCAAAUCAUUUCUGUAGCUUUUGAUACUGAUGCAUUUUUUGUUCAAUAGAGUAGGCCAACAUGAUUUUUUGUUCCGAAAUCAUUUCUUAGAAUUAUCUGUUGUUUAAUUCAAUAGAGUAGGGAUCCAACUUUUCUUAUGCGCAUGCAUUUUUUAUUUCAGAGUUUCUUAUUUGAUGAGUUCUCGUGGUCCAAGACAUAUAUAGCAGGAGCCAACUUUUCUUAUGUGCGUGUAUUUUGUAAUGCCAGCAUGCAUUUUUUUUUAUUUUAGAGUUUCUGACAUGCAUUUGGAGCAGGAGAGUGACUUAUGGAUGGCAUCUCAUGGCUGUUGUCCAAGCUACCUCGCAGUGGAUUGGAUCUAAGGCUACCCGCAGUGAGCAACGGUACGCGAAGCGCUACUGAGAUGGAGUCGUUAUACAGUAGAUAUUUUGCUGCAGCGGACAACUCUCCCAGCUACAGUAAAAUAGGGACGGGCUCAAAAAACUCCAUUUACAGAGUUCCUUUCCCCUUCACUCCAUAUCUCUCUCCUCUCUGUUUUCCCAACUAUCGCACGCGCGCGCCGGUCUGUGCGCCGACGUCCUCCUCCGUCGCCCGCGGCACAAGAGGCAAGGAGUUGCUCCGAGCACGUAGGUGCAGCAGCCCAGCUGUACUUGCUUUUGUAAAAAAAAAAAAAAUCUUGCAACAGCACCAUACGACACCUUGCAGCAGCACCGUAGCACCGUUCGGCAACAAGUGCAAGCGGCAUGUGCAAGAACGUGAACUCUAUGGUGGUAAUUGGGUGGGGAAGGGAAGAGAAUGAAAAAGGAAUGAUAUAAUAUGUGGUAGUUGGUAUAGAGUUGAGAUAUGGAGUAAAUAUGACUGCGGAGAAUUGUGGUAUAGGGUAAAUAAUUUUGCUGACAAGGACAUAAUAUUCUUUUUAGGCUAGAAAUUUAGAGUUGAAUGAGUGCGGAUAGCCUAAGAUCUCCCAAUGCUUGUUUUGCAGCAUGUAUCAGCUGGAUGCAUGUUAGGAUGCCCAGAAAUCUCAGAAUAAAAAUGAUCUUUGAUGUGUUCGUUACGAGAUCCAUUUUAUUCUGAGAUUCUCCUACUCCAACUUCUUUGAUGAGAGGCAGUGGCUGGAUCAUGAGAUUGGAUUAAUUUCUUUGGAAGGGUUUCAUUCCUGGUUUAUUACCUCGAGUUGGCAUAGAGUUCAGUACCAUAGAAGUGAUGUGGAACGGAUUGAUUUUGCUGAUUUUUAAUUUUUCUAUUUUACUUGUGUUUUGAUGAUGACCAUGAGCCUGUGUGGCUGCAUGUAUAUGUAUCUCUCAUAAAAUACUUUGUAUCUGUACUUGAAGUGAUCUGGAACGGAUUGAUUUUGCUGAUUUUUAAUUUUCUAUUGUACUUGUGUUUUGAUGAUGACCAAAGCAGCCGUCUGGCUGUCAGUUGAAGCGAGCAGGCACUUGCUUGCGGACAGGCUUUCUAUUUUACUUAUGUUUCGAUGAUGAUUGAGCUUGCGUUUUGAUGAUGUCCCAUGGCACCCCUCGUGGCUCCAAAGAGCAGCAGGACAUGGCAGCCCCGCCGGACGGUGUCCAUCCGGGGAAUUUGCAUGGCAAGGAUUUGCCUCCCCUGUGCUGGCUGCCCCAUGGUUCCCCUGGCCGGGCUGCCAAAGGAGGCCUUAGGGUGUGUAGGAUUCAGUUCAAAGUCCAAAAAUAGAAGCCCAAAUUUUUAUUUUUUUGCCUCAAUGUCAUUCAGCUUUUUUAUGUAGAAAAAGGUGAUGCUAACAGAAGCAGCACACAGGCAAAAACAGCUCUACAACAUAUGCAAUGGAAGAAGUGUCCGUGAUGCAAAAGAAGCUCCUUUAAUAGCAGACAAAGGUUACAAGAGAAAACUAAAGAAGUUUUUUUGGUUGGUUGGUUGUUGUUGUUGUUGUUGUUGCAUAAGAGGUAUGCAUUCUUAUAGUUGAAUUUGCGCAGGCAGGCCUUCACUAUGAUGAC
rnacentral:lncRNA from 1 species